UACGAAGGGGGCAAGCGUUGUUCGGAAUUACUGGGCGUAAAGGGCGCGCAGGCGGCGUUCCAAGUCAGGCGUGAAAGCCCCGGGCUUAACCUGGGAAAUGCGCUUGAGACUGGGGUGCUUGAGUUCGGGAGAGGUGAGUGGAAUUCCCAGUGUAGAGGUGAAAUGCGUAGAUAUCGGGAGGAACACCUGUGGCGAAAGCGGCUCACUGGACCAUAACUGACGCUGAUGCACGAAAGCUAGGGGAGCAAACAGG
rnacentral:rRNA from 1 species